rnacentral:rRNA from 1 species
AUUGAACGCUGGCGGCAGGCCUAACAAAUGCAAGACGAGCGGAGCGGCGGACGGGAGAGUAAUGCCUAGGAAUCUGCCUGGUAGGGGGGGAUAACGUCCGGAAACGGGCGCGAAUACCGCAUACUAUCAGAUGAGCCUAGGCAGGUUUAGCUAGUUGGUGGGGUAAAGACCUACCAAGGCGACGAUCCGUAACUGGUCUGAGAGGAUGAUCAGUCACACUGGAACUGAGAAACGUUCCAGACUCCUACGGGAGGCAGCAGUGGGGAAUAUUGGACAAUGGGCGAAAGCCUGAUCCAGCCAUGCCUCGUGUGUGAAGAAGGUCUUCGGAUUGUAAAGCACUUUAAGUUGGGAGGCGUUACCAACAGAAUAAGCACCGGCUAACUUCGUGCCAGCAGCCGCGGUAAUUC